AGUGCAGAUACUUUUUGUUCUUCCCUUGACUCGGGGCAAUCCAACCAGGCUGCAUGUACACCCCAGCCAUAACCAUGGACUUCCCCGACAACACGGUAUGCCAUUCCUGCCAAGACAGAACGUUUUGUGAGGAAGAUGUUGGUCUUAAUGGUGCCUUCAAUGACCUCGUGAAGAGCCAUCCAUGCAUUUUCUGAACCCGUCGAAUCCCUUUUGGGGUCCAGGGGGAGCCCACCCAGCUACUGUUGGGCGAAGGCGGGGCCACACCCUGAAGAGGCCGCCAGUCCGUUGCAGGGCCCCUCAUGAAGAGCUUUGGAUAGCAACUCAACGAAAAGUUUCAGGUUUUAAUUGAAUUCCUCCCCUUUUUUCCUCAGUUCAACACAAUCUUUCACCCUAUUUUACAUCAAUUUUUCAAAAUAAAGUGAUGCAAUUUCAUUUCACACACCAAGAAAAAAAAAAUCUCCUGAAAAACUCUGGGUGUAUAGAUUCAUCCGAAGGAAAGGGGAGCAGUCAUUUGAAACACUCCAACACACGAAACUUGAAACUUUAAAAAUGUAAUAAGGGUAUCCUGUCAACAUUAUAAUAAAGUUAAUACAGGAUAUAGAAAUGUCUGCCUCCUAAAAUGCUAUUAUGAGCAGGUCAGAUGGAUCUGUUUUAGAUUUAAAAGGUUGUUCUCUGUUUGCUGUCGUGACACAGCUCUUCAGUCCGACUCCUGGGGGGAUUUUAACUCCAUUUCUCAUCCCUACAAGGUAACCUAGGAGCUGGUUUGUCAGGCUUAGUCUAGCUGACUGUACCUUCAGCUUGUCGCCAAGCAGAACAAAAUGAGCGACCCCCAUGGAGAGACAAGAGCUGCUCACUGGAGCUCAACUAAGCAACGGGGGGGGGGUAGUUUAUAAAAAAAAAAAAACAUUGUAAUCACAGGAGGAGCAGUGUCUCUGGCUGGUUAAUUAGCAGUGGCAAGUUGGGGAUGUCUUUGAAGCUUCAUGGUUUGGCCACGGCAAAAUAAUGGGCUGUCGUUGCAAAAAUAAAACCCAUUCAUGAGCAAAAAAA